rnacentral:rRNA from 1 species
GUGAGGAAUAUUGGUCAAUGGGCGAGAGCCUGAACCAGCCAAGUCGCGUGAAGGAAGAAGGAUCUAUGGUUCGUAAACUUCUUUUGCAGGGGAAUAAAGUGCGGGACGUGUCCUGUUUUGUAUGUACCCUGAGAAUAAGGAUCGGCUAACUCCGUGCCAGCAGCCGCGGUAAUACGGAGGAUCCGAGCGUUAUCCGGAUUUAUUGGGUUUAAAGGGUGCGUAGGUGGUUUGAUAAGUCAGCGGUGAAAGUUUGCAGCUUAACUGUAAAAAUGCCGUUGAAACUGUCGGACUUGAGUGUAGAUGAGGUAGGCGGAAUGCGUGGUGUAGCGGUGAAAUGCAUAGAUAUCACGCAGAACUCCGAUUGCGAAGGCAGCUUACUAAGCUACAACUGACACUGAAGCACGAAAGCGUGGGGAUCAAACAGGAUUAGAUACCCGAGUAGUCC